rnacentral:rRNA from 1 species
UAGGGAAUCUUCGGCAAUGGGGGGAACCCUGACCGAGCAACGCCGCGUGAGUGAAGAAGGUUUUCGGAUCGUAAAGCUCUGUUGUUAAGGAAGAACGAGUGUGAGAAUGGAAAGUUCAUACUGUGACGGUACUUAACCAGAAAGGGACGGCUAACUACGUGCCAGCAGCCGCGGUAAUACGUAGGUCCCGAGCGUUGUCCGGAUUUAUUGGGCGUAAAGCGAGCGCAGGCGGUUAGAUAAGUCUGAAGUUAAAGGCAGUGGCUCAACCAUUGUAGGCUUUGGAAACUGGUUGACUUGAGUGCAGAAGGGGGGAGUGGAAUUCCAGGUGUAGCGGUGAAAUGGGUAGAUAUAUGGAGGAACACCGGUGGCGAAAGCGGCUCUGGGGUCUGUAACUGACGCUGGGGCUGGAAAGCGGGGGGGGAGAACAGG